rnacentral:rRNA from 1 species
UAACUUAAUUUAAUAAUCAAUAAUAAUGGAUCAANAUUUCAAAAAUAAUUGUAAAAUUAAUUAAAAGUUAAUUAAAUUUUAAUAUCACCCCAAUAAAAUAAUAUAAAUAUAUUGUAUUAAAAUUUAUCUAUAAAAAUAUAAUAAUUUAAUUAUAAAGAUUUAUAGGGUCUUCUCGUCUUUUAAAAAAAUUUUAGCUUUUUUACUAAAAAAUAAAAUUUUAUUAUAAAUUUAUAUGAAACAGUUAAUAUUUCGUCCAACCAUUCAUUCCAGCCUUCAAUUAAAAGACUAAUUAUUAUGCU